AGAUCAACAACUAAUUAGAACUAUAUUUUUAUAAUUCUUACUCUCUGUCUUCUGUAUUUUAUUAAUUUAUUGCAGCCAUUGUGUCCAAAGGAAAACAACCGCCAGAAUCUAGAUAUAGUAUUAUAGUAGGCCUAUAGUGUGUUUUAAGCUGCCUAUCACCAGCUCUGUUUUUUUGCUCAGUGUUGAUUCACAGUCUUGAAAUCCCAUGUUUGGAUUAACUCAAGAAAUCUAUAUUAAUUAGUUUCAAGUUCAGAAACAGAGAGAACAAGAGUCAAAUCAAACCAAAUUAAAUAUAGGCAAGACAUAGUAGAAGAGGAAAAGAAAUCCUGAUUUCUGACUUUAUACAAACAACAGAACUCACUCAAAGUGUUGCAAAAGAAUAUUUCUAGCAGUUUGAUUAUGGCAUUCUUAUAUUUGAAAUAAAUUGUAACAAUAAACAUUUCUUUUUAAUGUAAGUUGUGCAAUGUAAAAUAAUCCAUUGUGUAUAUAAACAUGUAGACCUGCAAGAUAUAUUAUGAACAGGUAUUUAAAAUGUGAAUAAAUAUAUGUUUAUCUUG